CCAGACUCCUACGGGAGGCAGCAGUGGGGGAUAUUGCACAAUGGGGGAAACCCUGAUGCAGCGACGCCGCGUGAGUGAAGAAGUAUUUCGGUAUGUAAAGCUCUAUCAGCAGGGAAGAAAAUGACAGUACCUGACCAAGAAGCCCCGGCUAACUACGUGCCAGCAGCCGCGGUAAUACGUAGGGGGCAAGCGUUAUCCGGAUUUACUGGGUGUAAAGGGAGCGUAGACGGUUAUGUAAGUCUGGAGUGAAAGCCCGGGGCUCAACCGCGGGACUGCUUUGGAAACUGUUAAGCUGGAGUGCAGGAGAGGUAAGUGGAAUUCCUAGUGUAGCGGUGAAAUGCGUAGAUAUUAGGAAGAACACCAGUGGCGAAGGCGGCUUGCUGGACAGUAACUGACGUUGAGGCUCGAAAGCGUGGGGAGCAAACAGGAUUAGAUACCCUCGUAC
rnacentral:rRNA from 1 species